ACGCAGGAAAAGUCUCUUUCUCAAGUGCAAAUAGCAAAAAUCUUCUUUCUUCCCCCCCAUCUUCCGAGCAAGGCGCCCCCACGGAUAGUUGCUCGCUGGCGGUAGGGAGCGAAGAGAGCAGAGAACCUCAACGGGAUA
ensembl:ncRNA T18D3.13 ncRNA